AACGUUCAUCUUUUAAUAAAAGACGGAAGUAGGUUAGAACCGAAGGAACGCAUU
ncrna:unclassified sequences Glutamine riboswitch